GUGCAAUCUAAAAGUUUUUGAAAGAAAGUGACUAUUUGAUCAAAAACAUGAAUUUUGAUUAUGGAGAUACUAAAAUUAUAUGGCCAACAGCAGAUCACAAUGUCACUAUAGUCUGGCUUCACGAUAUCGGACAUAAUGGCAGAGACUCAGCUAGAUUUGUACGUCAACUGAAUCUUCCAAAUGUAAAAUGGAUUUGUCCGACUGCUCCAGUACGUCCUGUCACUUCCUAUGGUGGAACAGAAUAUACUGCUUG